CCUUGCUCCCCUCCCCCGGCGGGAGCCGCUAAGUGACGGGCGAAGGGCGGCCGGGGUAGAGGCCAUCGUGUUUCGCUGCCGGCGGCGGGAGGCACGGAGCAGGCGGGCCGAGCCGGGCCAUGCGCCGCCGCGGCACCGUCUGGGCGCAGGCAGCCGCCGUGUGCGACCAAUAUGGCUGCGCGCUGCCGCGAAUGAAAGGAGGCGCCUGGAGCUGAGGCCGUCUCCCCCCCCACCCCUCCUCCUCGCCCCGCGGCCUGCAGUGAGCCCAGGAGAGAAGUUGGCUGAGCCGCCCCGCGGGGUGGGGGGCGCCGGCUGCUGGGGGCGGCGGAGGAGGCGGCGGCAGCAGCAAAGAGGAGGAGGAGAAGUUGUUUGGCCGCCGGGAAGGCGGAAAGGAGAGAGCGGCGCCGGCUGGAGGAGGACGAGGAGCAGCCCCGUAGCGGGCUCUCCCCGCCGAGCGCCCCAGGGGAGAGCGGCGGUCGGUAGACCGCGACAGGAGGAGGAGGAGGCAGAGGGCGGCCCGGCCCCGGGUCGGAGCCUCGCGGCGGCCGCCCGGCGCUGCCCCUAUCGGAGCGGGGCGGCCGGCGGCGGCGCCUCCCCCUCGGCCCGCGCUUCCCCGGGGGCGGCGGUCGAACGGUGGGGCCGGGGGCCGAAGUUUGGCAGUCGGCGGCCAUGGAGCCGAAGCACAAGGAGCUGCUCGCGCAGUGCCGGCAGAGCCUGGCGCAGGCCAUGACCGAGGUGGACAAGGUGGUGGAGCUGCUGGAGGCCGCCGGCGCCCUCGGUCCCCGCGACCUGCGCGACCUGGAGGCGGCGGGCGGCGGCAAGGCCGAGGUGCUGAUCGCCCUGCUGCUGGCCAAGGAGCGGGACCACUUCCAGGACCUGCGGGUGGCCCUGGAGAAGACGCAGCCCCACCUGCUCUCCAUCCUCUACCUGAACGGCGUGGCGGGGGCGCCGGCGGCGGCGGAGGAGACGGCCGGAUCUACUUACAGUGUGCUGUCCAUAAUGCCUUCUGAUUCUGAGAGCAGCAGUUCUCUGAGUAGCAUUGGUACAACCGGUAAAGCAUCAUCUCCACCACCUGUAACAGACACGAGACAGAUGAGUGAGAAGCUGGAGACAAUAUUAUUUCAGCUCCGACAGGUAACUCGGGAGAGGGAUGAGCUGCGCAAGCGACUUGCACUUUCAUCUCCUGGAUCAACUUUUGAUGACUGCAGACCUAGUCCAAAACCUAAUCAUGACUAUGAAAGACUGAAGAUUCAGUGCAUGAAGGCCAUGUCAGACCUACAGUCUCUGCAGAAUCAACAUACUAAGACAUUAAAAAGGUGCGAAGAAGCAGCAAAAGAGGCCGAUUUUUAUCACACAUUGCACAGUCGACUGCUGAGUGACCAGUCACAGCUGAAGGAGGACAUGGAUACCUUGAAGAGGAAAAAUACACAGUUGGUGCGAGAACAUAACCAUCUCCAGCAGUCGUGUGAGGAAAUGAAAAGGCUUCAUGAUGAGGAUCAGAAGGAGAUAACUGACCUACGCAGCCAGCAGCAGCAGGUUAUGAAGCAAAAUGGGUCAUCAGAGAUAUUAAAUAAGCUCUACGAUACAGCAAUGGACAAGCUAGAGGGUGUGAAGAAGGAUUAUGAUGCCUUAAGGAAGCGAUACAAUGAGAAGAUAGCAAGUCACAAUACGGAUCUCAGUCGCCUAGAGCAGGCUGAGGAGGAAAAUAGACGUCUUCAGAAACAGAUUGACAUGCUAAUGAAGCAAAGGGACACAGCAAUACAUUUUCAACAGCAAUAUUCAUCCUCUCUCAGAAGAUUUGAGUCAGUACAGCAGGAGCUAAGCAACGCCACAGCACAAAACAAAGAGUUGCAGAGAGAGAUGGAGCGAUUACAGUCAGAGGUGACAAGGUUCAAAACAAUGCAGCUGAAAGCAGCAAAGGAUUCAGAAAAAUACAAGGAAGAAAGGGAUUCAGUUUUCAAUGAAUACCGCCUCAUAAUGAGUGAGAGAGAUCAAGUAAUCAAAGAGGUAGAUAAGCUUCAAACAGAGCUGGAGCUUGCAGAGUCCAAACUGAAGAACACUUCUUCUGAGAAACGAGUCGCUAGUGAAGAGAUGGAAGCUUUAAGACAGGAGCUAAACUCAGCUUUAGUGGAAAGAGAUCGAGCAAUUUGUGAGAGGAAUGAGUUGCUGGAAAAAUACUGUCAUGAAGUGAAGGACAAAGCUGAGGCCCAGAAGGAACUUGAUCAGGCUUGCAAGGAUAUAGAGACAGUGAAGGAAGAAAGAGAUGUUGCCAGGAAAGAGAGAACAGAAGCUAUCAUCCAGAGGGACCAUCUACUAAGGGAAUACUAUCAAGCCCGUCAGAUACAAGAUUCUGCUACCCUUGACAUUGAAAGAGCAAACAAAGAAAUUGAAAUGCUUCGGAAACAAUAUGAGGCUAUGUCGCAAGAACUGAAGGAAGCUGUCCAGGAAGCAGAAGUCGCCAAGUGCAGGAGAGAUUGGGCUUUUCAAGAGCGGGAUAAGAUUGUUGCAGAAAGAGAAAGUAUACGGACUCUGUGUGACAACUUACGGAGGGAGAGAGACCGCGCUGUGAGUGACUUGGCUGAAGCUCUUCGCAAUCUGGAUGACAUGAGGAAGCAGAAAAAUGAUGCCGUGCGUGAACUGAAGGAACUGAAAGAGAAGAUGGAGAAUCAGUUGGAAAAGGAGGCCAGAUUCCGUCAAUUGAUGGCCCAUAGUUCCCAUGACUCAGCCAUAGACACAGAUUCUCUGGAAUGGGAAACAGAAGUAGUAGAAUUUGAAAAAGACAGAGAUGAUAUGGACUUGAAAGCACUUGGUUUUGAUGUGGCAGAAGGUGUGAAUGAACCAUACCUCCCUGGAGACUGUGGGAUCUUUGUUACCAAAGUAGACAAAGGAAGUAUUGUGGAUGGUCGAUUAAGAGUAAAUGAUUGGUUGCUGAAGAUAAAUGAUGUGGAUCUUACUAAUAAGGAUAAAAAGCAAGUUAUAAAAGCUGUUCUAAAUGGAGGAGGGGUUAUUAACAUGGUGGUUCGAAGAAGGAAGUCCUUGGGUGGACGAGUGAUAACACCACUUCACAUCAAUGUUUCUGGGCAUAAAGACAGUGGGGUGAGCCUAGAAAAUGGAGUAUUUGUUGCUGCUGUUGUGCCUGGAAGCCCAGCUGCCAAAGAGGGUUCCCUUACUGUGGGAGAUAGAAUAAUUGCUAUCAAUGGGAUUGCACUAGAUAAUAAAUCACUUAAUGAAUGUGAAGCUUUGUUACGAAACUGCAGGGAUUCUCUUACCCUGUCAUUGUUGAAGGUUUUUCCUCAGAGUUCAUCUUGGAGUGGUCAAAAUAUAUUUGAAAAUCUGAAGGAUUCAGAAAAAAUAUCAAACUGUAGGGUUCACGCGUCAGAGAUACAAGCCCAAAACAAAAGAAAUCUGAAACUCAACAGCUCAACACAGACUGAUAUUUUCAAUCCAGACGUCAUGGAUGUCAAGAAGGACCAGAGUGAUCAGGGCAGUCGUUCAUUUUGUGAUCACAAACCCUUCCCUAAUAACACAUUACGAGUAGAUUCUCACAGGAACACAGUGCACAGUUGCCACAGUAAUUCAGAACAUAGUCUCAGCUCUUUCAACCCAGAGACAUAUGGGGACCGAGGCUACGGAGUUGUUGACUUGGACAACAGGAGACUGCCUUAUGAACCUACAGAAACUGACUGCAUGAUGGUUGAGACUGGAUUUGACAAAGGACAUGGUGCUAAGCAUAGUGGUGGUACCUGGCCAAAAGUCAUGGUUAAUAUCUCAGCAGCAGAAACAGAAAAGUUUUCUGUAUACAAAAAGCCAAAACAAAGGAAGUCUAUCUUUGACCCUGAUACUUUCAAAAGGCCACCAACUCCUCCUAAGCUGGAGUACCUUUCUCCAAAUCAGGUGACAGGCCAUUCACCUCAGCCAUCAAAAGCUGAAGUGGCUUCAACUCCUCCAACUCCUCCGAAGAGAAGUGACUCUAUCAAAUUUAAACAUAAACAGCAGGCAAGCUCUGCAUCAGAGUCUACAGUAACAACUGGAUCACCACCUACCAGCCCAGCCACUGCCCAAGCUCCAGUUUCCUUGGCACUUAAACAAGACUCUGCUACUCUCAAGGGGCGCAGCAGGAAUGCUGGGAAUUAUUAUCGUGAGGAGGGAAUUGACUGUACUCAUCUCUCCUCAAGGAAAUCCUGUGAAGAUGACAUUGGCUUUCAAAGGGUUGAAGAGCCAGAGAUAAAAAGACCAAGGCCAAAAUCUGCUCCUGCUCUGAGACAUAAAAUGACCCCUAUGCCCAUUCCUAAUCCUGGACUUCAGAAAUAUACUCCAGCUAGUGAGGAACACCUAUCUCCAGAGCUACAGGAAUGGGCACCAUAUUCACCGAAACGUUCUGCUAGGCAUAGUGAUGGCUUUGUAUCUUCUGCAUUAUAUACUGGAGGCGUGUCAUCAGGUACUGUACCAAGAAGCUUAGCACCUUGCCCUGCAGUAACUGCGGUCAUGCGAAAUCCCAUCUAUACUGCAUGGAGCCACAGAGUACACACCAACAAUUGCCCAUCAGUUGCCAGCCAAAUAUGCCAUCAGCAUCUGCAUCCCAGUGCCCAGCACCAAGGUCGCUUGAGUUUGGACCUGAGUCAUAAACACUCCAAUGAAUACUCUGAAAAUCCACGUACAAGAGCAUCUCAUGGCUCAAAUUCAUUGCCAUCCAGUGCAAGACUUGGUUCUUCAAGUAACUUGCAGUACAGAACAGAACGGAUUAAGAUCCCUUUAACACCAAGAUAUCCAAGGUCCGUCAUGGGCUCUGACAGAGGCUCAUUGUCGCACUCUGAAUGUAGCAGUCCCAGCUUGAUAACUCCUCCACAGUCACCUCUUAACUUGGAAACAUCUUCCUUUGCCAGCAGCCAAUCUCAGAACUCUCUUUCUACUUUACCUAGAAUUUCCAUUAGCCCAGUAUCUGCUGGAGAACGUAGAAAAGAUAGGCCGUACAUGGAAGAGCCACGUCAUGUUAAAGUGCAGAAGGGUUCUGAGCCAUUAGGAAUUUCCAUUGUGAGCGGAGAAAAUGGUGGAAUAUUUGUCUCUAAAGUAACAGGUGGGAGCAUUGCACAUCAAGCUGGCCUUGAGUACGGUGAUCAGUUACUAGAGUUUAAUGGAAUAAAUUUGAGAAAUGCUACAGAGCAGCAGGCUCGAUUAAUCAUUGGACAACAGUGUGACACCAUUACUAUUUUGGCUCAGUAUAACCCACACAUGUAUCAGCUUGGCAAUCAUUCACGAUCAAGUUCUCGCCUAGAACCUGUCAGUAAUCAUUCCACCCCUCAAGGCAGUGGAGCUGCAACUCCUGACAAUCAUUCCAUAAUCGAUACUGUGAGUGAACAGGAUGAAGGAACAAUGACACCCCCAUCAAAACAAACCACACCAACCACAAGUCCCCGAAAUUCCUUAAGGGGCCCUGUGGACACAAACAAAAGGACCCCUGAACCAAGAACUGUUGUUGUUAAAAAAUCCCAAGUGGAUCUUGGGAUCCAAAUAUGUGGUGGAAAUCUGUAUGGAAUAUUUGUAUCAGAUGUAGAUGAUGAUAGUCCAGCAAAAGGACCUGAUGGCCUAGUUUUGGGUGACAUGAUACUUGAGUAUGGAUCCAUUGAUAUGCGAACUAAAACAGCUGAGGAAGCUUACCUCGAAAUGUUGAAACCUGGAGAAAAUAUCAAAAUAAAGACUCAAUACAGAAUUGAAGAAUUUAAUAGGAUAAAAGAGCUUCCUGGAGAUGGAUUCUUUAUCAGAGCACUUUAUGACCGUCUGGCAGAGGUGGAACAGGACUUAAGCUUUAAGAAGGAUGACAUUUUGUAUGUUGAUGAUACUUUACCACAAGGAAACUUCGGUUGUUGGAUGGCUUGGCAGCUAGAUGAGAAUGCUCAGAAGCUGGAAAGAGGACAGAUUCCCAGUAAAUAUAUGAUGGAUCAGGAAUUCUAUAGGAGACACAGCAUGUCUGAGACUAAAGAUGAAAACAGCUCUUCCAAGACAUUGUCAGCAGCAGCACGAAGGUCAUUCUUCAGGAGAAAGCAUAAACACAAACGAAGUGGUUCCAAAGAUGGCAAGGAUUUGCUGGCUCUUGAUACAAUCAGUACAGACUCAAUUCCAUUCUUGGAUGAUUCUGCAAGUCUGGCAUAUCAGCGUGUACAGAAAGUGGACUGUACCUCUCCUAGACCUGUGCUUAUUCUAGGACCAUUACUUGAUGCUGUGAAAGACAUGUUGGUCAAAGAAUCUCCAGGAAAAUUUUGCAGAUGUCCUCUUGAGGUUAUGAAAGCUUCCCAACAAGCCAUUGAGAGAGGUGUGAAGGAUUGCCUAUUCAUAGAUUAUAAACGGAGGAGUGGACAUUUUGAUGUGACAACUGUUGCUUCAAUAAAGGAGAUAACAGAAAAGGAUUGUCAUUGUCUGCUUGACAUCGCUCCUCAUGCCAUUGAACGGCUCCACAGUGUUCAUAUCUACCCUAUUGUAAUUUUUAUUCGCUACAAAAAUGCCAAACAAAUCAAAGAGCAAAAAGACCCAAUCUUCCUGAGGGACAAAGUUACACAAAAACAUUCCAAAGAACAGUUUGAGACAGCUCAAAAAAUAGAACAAGAGUACAGCAAAUACUUUACAGAGCAUGUUUCCCUGUGGUUCUACAUGCAUUCAAAAGAGUAAGGGUGAAAUCCUAUCCAUCUUUAAUGUGAGUGGCAACACAACUUAAAAAGAAGAAAAAAAUAAACAAAACAACAGCCCCCAAACCAAACAGAACCCAACCUCACACCCUCAAAAUAAUGGGAUUCUUACAGAAGUAUUUUGAAAUAUACCUGCCAAGUGCAGGGGAGUGGAAGGUGGGAGGAUGCAUUUAAUACAGAGCUAUCAUGGUGUAUCCUGAGAGAAGUUGCACAUACUCAACAGUCAGUUGCCUGAUAUAUAAUGGCAUUGUCCAGGGAGGAGCCCUUUCAAGCAUUUGCACUCAGAUUAUGACAACUGUUGAUCAAGAACAAAACAAAGUCCUGUGGAUCCCAGCUGGCCCACUGUAGAUUUAUUUUUGCUGUGAAACUGCUUUGCAGGCGUAAAUAACCAACUAACUUUCUAUUCAAUGGACUCUGUCCGUUUCUGUCUUUAUAAAGAUGUAAGUAUGUGAUUUCUGUUUCAUGAACGGGAACGAUAACACUGAGCACCAGAAGAACCAACGAGGCAUUCGGGAAGGAUAGAUCACUUGUCUCUUCCACUGUACGUGUACAUGUGACAGGUUGGCACGUGGGGUACAACCUGUGUGUACUUGUCCAUAAAUAAUGAAUUUAGCAAUGCUGCAAAACCCUGUAGAAUGACAAGUUUACAAAAACCUUUUCAAAGUAUUUGGUUGUUGCUGUUUACUUGAAUGUCUUUUUUUGUUGUUUUUUUUUCUGUUUUGUUUUGUUUUAUAACUCUGUGUCCUUUCACGUAAUGAGGUAACUCUCCAAAACAGAGUGAAAUUCUGAAUAUGAGUGAAUGGUUUAUGCAUGUGACUCUUACCUACAGUUGUUACCAUUUCUGAGCACAUUGACUCGACAGCCAGAUAAUGCGGGAUUUUAUCGGUACGUCUUGGGAGUAAGUUCCGAAGGAAGUACACUCCUCUACAGGGCAGACCACUGUUUGUAUUAUGUCAACACUUGUCUGUCAAAGAUACUGUUUCUUGUCUAAUGCAUGAAUCUGCUGUUUAAACGUCAUAAUAUAACUGAACAAUCCAAGCUUAACGUGUGUUGAGAAAUACCAAUUUUUGGUUGUUGGGCCUGGAUAAAAUACUGGUGGGCAAGAGUCAUGAGCUAGGCCUAGCAUGCUGUGUUCUGUCACUUUCAGAUACUGUAAAUAUGGAAAGCUUACGUUGGUGCAAUUUUGCAGGGUAAUUCUGAAGCUUUGUAUUUCAGUGUGUAGCAUUCACAUAGAUUGUUUUUUAUUUAAGAGCAGCCACAGGCUUAGGGCUUCGAUUAAAAGCCUUUAGAAAGGUACUGAAUUGUUAAUGUUUUCACUGUAAAAAGUAAGUGAUCAUCUAGUUUUGGUUGCAAUACUUACUUACUUAUUGUACCAAACUCCAUUGUAUCAGUUCCCUUUUUGGUUUUUUGCACUUCUGACUCUGUGUUCCUAACACAGGUUUUGUACCUGUCUCUUCUGUCUCUUGUGCCAUGCUUUUUGGGUACUGUAUUUUAAUUGUUUUUAAAAUAUAAUUUGAGUAGAACUGCUUUUCAGUUGUUGUUCCUAACAUUUCAUUAUGUAGAGGUUUCUAGUUUUACACUACAACCUACAGUUUUGUUUGUUUGCAGCUUGUUUAAGUAAAAAAGGGAUUCUUCUUGCACAGGUCUUCAAAGAAGGAUUUGGUCCUAAAUUUAAAUUCCAUUUUACAGAUGCUGUUUUAUAGUUCAAAGUACUAUAUAUAGUUACAUACUAUAUAGAGAGAGUAUUUUUGAACUGUAAUAAGUACAAUAUAUAUACAGUAUUAUUUUAUUUACUGUUAUACCAUACUGUUAUAAUACUGUAUAUAUAUAAAUUAAAAAAAGAAGGUGGUAUGCAUGUAUUUGUCAUGGUGAGGGACAGCAGUUAUUUUUCAUUUACUUCAUUUUUGUUUCUUUGUUUUUUAAAGUUUGAGGUCAGAGUAGACUUCAGUGGUACAACUGAAACAGACAGGUACUGUUCUGACAUGAUUUUUCUGUACUAAAAUAAAAAUGUCACUUUGUAUCAAAAAAAAGUUAAAGAAACUGAUUACUAAAUAAAGGUCAAUUUCUAUAACUUGAA